UGAGAAAGAUGAGAAAGCUGAAAUCCCCUUCAAACCUUCCUCCUCUGUAAAAUCCCCAACUGGGAGUUGCUAGAGACUCAUUAGAGAACAGGAGAACAUCAAGUGCAUCUGAUGAAACAGGGCUUUCCCCAUGACUGGCAGAGUGAGGCAGCUGCCCUCAGGCAGAAGAUACGGAUGAGCAACAGUGAGGUGUUGGAACUGGGUGUGCCGCAUGACUUGCCCUGCAAUCUCUGAACUAAUGUGCUGCACUCAAGUGUGCUGGAGGACACUCUGCUACAGAGUAUUGAAAUUUCAGAAAGUACCGAAGUAUAACAUCAUUGUCAUUAUUUUUUGCAUGGUUGUUUUUGUCAUGUGCCAAGUGAGUGGUUAGUGUGUGUGUGUGUGUGUGUGUGUGUGU